AAAAAGACAAAUAUUGGGUUUCCGUGUCCAACGUUUAACCGUCCGUCUUAUUUAAAAAAAUUAUGAAAAAAAUUAGAAAGACAAGUCACAUAAAGUAUUAUCAUGUUUUAUCAUCUAACAAUAAUGAAAAUACUAAUUAUAAAAAAAUUUCAUAUAAGAUGAACAGUUAAACGUUAGACACGGAAAUUCAGGUUUAUCAUUUUU
rfam:Oryza sativa Japonica Group DNA, chromosome 3, cultivar: Nipponbare, complete sequence.